UAAUCAAAUAAUCAUGAAAUAUUUAGGCUGGUAAUCAAAUAAUCACUAUAACAAUGCCCAAGUAAUCACAUAAUAGGAACUUCAGUUGAAUUUCAAACAACUUUUAGAAAUAUGAAACCUAAAAAAAGUCAUAAUAUCAAGAGAAACAGCUUGUUUUAGGUGACUUCAACUUAAAUCUAUUAGAGCAAUUUAGAAUUCAACACCUGGAUUUAAAAAAAAAAAGAAAAGUUUUUUGAUAAAAUAUAAAAUGCAAAUAUGGUUUUGUUUGUAAAGAAGUCAAUGUAAGUAUGGUUUUACUAUACUGUAAGUAGUCAAAUAGGUGAAUUACCCAUAUACAGAGAAACCACACUUCAUUGAACCCUGCAUAAGGUAAAAAUUUAUCUUAAUCAGACCCUGCAUAACUGAACCAUUACAUACACAAGUACAGUGAUUUUACACUUUUACAUAUAACACCUGUCUUAUCAGGAUAAUAUAUUCAGUCUCAAUUUUCUACAGUUAAGACGAUCUUUUAAAGAUUUCACUGUAUAUUUGAAACGCCUAAUACAUUAGAAAGUUUAUCAAAUCAUUCCAAAAAGAUUCACUCACGUUAGAAUAAAAAUAAUCUUUGUUCCUGCUAAGCCACUUUUAUUUCACAAAAAAAUAAUCUUUAGAAAGUUGGCUGUCAAUUGACUCAUUUAUAAAGGUUUGAUAAAUUUAUGUCAUGGGUGUAUUUUGGGGGGCAAAAAAAAAGUGCAAUUAGACUCCUACACCUAUUUCUCGUUAUUGAGUAGUUCAUUGAAUGAAUUGUUUUCAUCCAGUUAAACAAAUGCAGUGUUUUGUUCUUAUAGAAAUCAAGCAAUUUCUAAUGUGAAACUGUAAAAUUUCAAUUGACAACCUUGAAACCUCAGGCAUCUGCACAUUUUGGACUUACUUGCUAAAAAGAAUAUACAACAACAAAACUUAAAUUAAAUUAUAUGGUCAUAAAAAACAAAAGAUAAGCACCAUGCACCAACAUGUAUUAAAAAAAUCAAAUUCUGAUUACAAUUAUUGUACCGUAUUUACAAAUCAUUGAAAAUAUCUUGUAAAACAAUCUAAUGCUUAGACUUUUUUCAUAUGAAUGAAUUUGGCAGCAUAGUAAUAAAGCUUUAAAUAUAGAUGGCGACACUAAAAAGUAAGAGUUAAUUUUUUCUUUGUUUGUCAU
rnacentral:lncRNA from 1 species